rnacentral:rRNA from 1 species
UACGUAGGGUGCGAGCGUUAAUCGGAAUUACUGGGCGUAAAGCGUGCGCAGGCGGUUCGUUGUGUCGGCGGGGAAAGCCCCGGGCUCAACCUGGGAAUGGCCGUUGAAACUGGCGAACUGGAGUGUGGCAGAGGGGGGUGGAAUUCCGCGUGUAGCAGUGAAAUGCGUAGAGAUGCGGAGGAACACCAGUGGCGAAGGCGGCCUUCUGGACCAAUACUGACGCUCAUGCACGAAAGCGUGGGGAGCAAACAGG